GUCCUCAUAGCUUAACAAUAAAGCACAGCACUGAAGAUGCUAAGAUGGCUACUCAUAGUACCUGAGGACA
rnacentral:tRNA from 1 species